AUUGAACGCUGGCGGCAUGCCUUACACAUGCAAGUCGAACGGUAACGCGGGGCAACCUGGCGACGAGUGGCGAACGGGUGAGUAAUGCAUCGGAACGUGCCCAGUAGUGGGGGAUAGCCCGGCGAAAGCCGGAUUAAUACCGCAUACGACCUACGGGUGAAAGGGGGGGAUCGCAAGACCUCUCGCUAUUGGAGCGGCCGAAGUCAGAUUAGGUAGUUGGUGGGGUAAAGGCCUACCAAGCCGACGAUCGGUAGCUGGUCUGAGAGGACGACCAGCCACACUGGGGCUGAGACACGGCCCAGACUCCUACGGGAGGCAGCAGUGGGGAAUUUUGGACAAUGGGCGCAAGCCUGAUCCAGCCAUGCCGCGUGCGGGAAGAAGGCCUUCGGGUUGUAAACCGCUUUUGUCAGGGAAGAAAUCUUCUGAGUUAAUACCUCGGGAGGAUGACGGUACCUGAAGAAUAAGCACCGGCUAGCUACGUGCCAGCCGCCGCGGUAACAC
rnacentral:rRNA from 1 species